rnacentral:lncRNA from 1 species
GCCCCAUGCAAAAAAGUAACCAAACCAGUUUCAAUUGAAAAGUAACACAUGUGACUUAUCCAAUCAAACAUUUUGAAUAUCACACAUUUUCCCUCUUAUUGUGGAAUUCAAAUUUUGAAUUCAAAUCUUAAAAUUAAAUGCUAUAUUACCUUCUUUCACCAACAUAAAUAAGAAACAAAUGAAAUUUUAUCAUUCUCUCACAAAUUUCUCUUACAUUCAUCCUUUCAUUUUAAGUCUUUUUUUUUUCUACUACUUUUUAUUACUACUACUUUCUUAUUAUUAUUGAAUAGUGUUCUUCAUGUUUUAUGUUUGUUAAUUUUUUUCUAUCUUUCAAGAGAUGGCAAAACAGAAAAUCAUAUACUAACAACUUAUGUGUUUCUUGCAGCAUGAAUAACAUAGUUGAGUUAAAAAAUAGUGGUAUAUUUUGAAGAAAGGAGUACACUGGAAAAUCAAAAACAAACCAAAUCAUGAGAUGGUUGAAAGAAAUAUACUAUCUCUCACUCUUUCUUUGCUAUUUUUUGCCUUCAUCUUUAUUUUUUAAACUCCAUUUACAUUUAUUUUAUUUUGCAGGAAAGUUCUUUUUUUUGGACAAUAUGAACACAUAAAAGUACCAUCGCAAGGUAAAAGUUUAGAAAAAAUAAAUAAAACAUCCAAAGUAGAUAAAAUGAUAUGAUUUAUUCUUUAAUAUUAAUCGACUUUUCAUUUGAUUUGUUUCAAUUUUGUGUUUUAUUUUGUCAGGAACCUAAAACACAUGAGAAGUAAAGAUGAAUGGCACAAAU